rnacentral:rRNA from 1 species
CAAGUAAUUAAGUGCAUGUGGUGGAUGCCUUGGCAGUCAGAGGCGAUGAAAGACGUGAUAGCCUGCGAAAAGCUCCGGGGAGGCGGCAAAUAUCCUUUGAUCCGGAGAUGUCUGAAUGGGGGAACCCACCUACUUUAAGGUAGGUAUUGCAACAUGAAUACAUAGUGUUGCAAGGCGAACGAGGGGAAGUGAAACAUCUCAGUACCCUUAGGAAAAGAAAUCAAUUGAGAUUCCCUCAGUAGCGGCGAGCGAACGGGGAUCAGCCCAUUAAGUUAUGUGUGUUUUAGUGGAACGCUCUGGGAAGUGCGAACGUAGAGGGUGAUAUUCCCGUACACGAAAGGGCACACAUAAUGAUGACGAGUAGGGCGAGGCACGUGAAACCUUGUCUGAAUAUGGGGGGACCAUCCUCCAAGGCUAAAUACUCCUGACUGACCGAUAGUGAACCAGUACCGUGAGGGAAAGGCGAAAAGAACCCCUGUGAGGGGAGUGAAAUAGAUCCUGAAACCGCAUGCAUACAAGCAGUGGGAGCACCUUCGUGGUGUGACUGCGUACCUUUUGUAUAAUGGGUCAGCGACUUAUAUUCAGUAGCGAGGUUAACCGUAUAGGGGAGCCGUAGAGAAAUCGAGUCUUAAUAGGGCGUUUAGUUGCUGGGUAUAGACCCGAAACCAGGCGAUCUAUCCAUGAGCAGGUUGAAGGUUGGGUAACACUAACUGGAGGACCGAACCCACUGUCGUUGAAAAGCCAGGGGAUGACUUGUGGAUAGGGGUGAAAGGCUAAUCAAGCCUGGUGAUAGCUGGUUCUCCCCGAAAGCUAUUUAGGUAGCGCCUCGGACGAAUACCAUAGGGGGUAGAGCACUGUUUCGGCUAGGGGGUCAUCCCGACUUACCAAACCGAUGCAAACUCCGAAUACCUAUGAGUACUAUCCGGGAGACAGACUGCGGGUGCUAACGUCCGUAGUCAAGAGGAAAACAAUCCAGACCGCCAGCUAAGGCCCCAAAAUCAUAGUUAAGUGGGAAACGAUGUGGGAAGGCAUAGACAGCUAGGAGGUUGGCUUAGAAGCAGCCACCCUUUAAAGAAAGCGUAAUAGCUCACUAGUCGAGUCGGCCUGCGCGGAAGAUGUAACGGGGCUAAAACUAUGUGCCGAAGCUGCGGAUGUAUACUUUGUAUACGUGGUAGGGGAGCGUUCUGUAAGCCGAUGAAGGUGUGUUGAGAAGCAUGCUGGAGGUAUCAGAAGUGCGAAUGCUGACGUGAGUAACGACAAAACGGGUGAAAAACCCGUUCGCCGAAAGACCAAGGGUUCCAGUCCAACGUUAAUCGGGGCUGGGUGAGUCGACCCCUAAGGCGAGGCCGAAAGGCGUAGUCGAUGGGAAAAUGGUUAAUAUUCCAUUACUUCUGUGUAAUGCGAUGAGAGGACGGAGAAGGCUAAAUCAGCCUGGCGUUGGUUGUCCAGGUGAAAGGAUGUAGGCAUGUAUCUUAGGCAAAUCCGGGGUACUCUAUGCUGAGAUCUGAUAGCAAGCUGUACUUGUACAGCGAAGUGGUUGAUGCCAUGCUUCCAGGAAAAGUCUCUAAGCUUCAGUUACACAGGAAUCGUACCCGAAACCGACACAGGUGGUCAGGUCGAGUAGACCAAGGCGCUUGAGAGAACUCUGCUGAAGGAACUAGGCAAAAUGGUACCGUAACUUCGGGAGAAGGUACGCUGUUGUUGGUGAUGGAACUCGCUUCCUGAGCUGACGACAGCCGCAGAAACCAGGCCGCUGCAACUGUUUAUUAAAAACAUAGCACUCUGCAAACACGAAAGUGGACGUAUAGGGUGUGAUGCCUGCCCGGUGCUGGAAGGUUAAUUGAUGGGGUUAGCGUAAGCGAAGCUCUUGAUCGAAGCCCCAGUAAACGGCGGCCGUAACUAUAACGGUCCUAAGGUAGCGAAAUUCCUUGUCGGGUAAGUUCCGACCUGCACGAAUGGCAUAAUGAUGGCGGCGCUGUCUCCAGCAGAGGCUCAGUGAAAUCGAAAUCGCUGUGAAGAUGCAGUGUACCCGCGGCUAGACGGAAAGACCCCGUGAACCUUUACUGCAGCUUGACACUGAACUUUGACCUUACUUGUGUAGGAUAGGUGGGAGGCUUUGAAGCUGGAACGCUAGUUCCAGUGGAGCCGUCCUUGAAAUACCACCCUGGUAAUGUUGAGGUUCUAACUCUGUCCCGUGAUCCGGGACGAGGACCGUGUCUGGUGGGUAGUUUGACUGGGGCGGUCUCCUCCUAAAGAGUAACGGAGGAGUACGAAGGUGCGCUCAGCGUGGUCGGAAAUCACGCGUAGAGUAUAAAGCAAAAGCGCGCUUAACUGCGAGACCCACAAGUCGAGCAGGUACGAAAGUAGGUCUUAGUGAUCCGGUGGUUCUGUAUGGAAGGCCAUCGCUCAACGGAUAAAAGGUACUCUGGGGAUAACAGGCUGAUACCGCCCAAGAGUUCAUAUCGACGGCGGUGUUUGGCACCUCGAUGUCGGCUCAUCUCAUCCUGGGGCUGAAGCAGGUCCCAAGGGUAUGGCUGUUCGCCAUUUAAAGAGGUACGCGAGCUGGGUUUAGAACGUCGUGAGACAGUUCGGUCCCUAUCUACCGUGGGCGCUGGAAAUUUGAGAGGAUCUGCUCCUAGUACGAGAGGACCAGAGUGGACGAACCUCUGGUGUACCGGUUGUGACGCCAGUCGCAUCGCCGGGUAGCUAUGUUCGGAAGGAUAACCGCUGAAAGCAUCUAAGCGGGAAGCCUACCUCAAGAUAAGAUUUCCCUAGGACUUUAUGUCCUCUAAAGAGCCGUUCGAGACUAGGACGUUGAUAGGUUGGAUGUGGAAGCAUAGUGAUAUGUGAAGCUGACCAAUACUAAUUGCUCGUGAGGCUUGACUA